CGGAACGAUGGUGAGCUUGCUCCCAGGCGUCGAGCGGCGGACGGGUGAGUAACACGUGGGAAUCUGCCCAUUUGUGGGGGAUAACUCGGGGAAACUCGAGCUAAUACCGCAUAAUCCCUACGGGGGAAAGCAGGGGAUCUUCGGACCUUGCGCUGAUGGAUGAGCCCGCGUCGGAUUAGCUUGUUGGUGGGGUAAUGGCCCACCAAGGCGACGAUCCGUAACUGGUCUGAGAGGAUGGUCAGUCACACCGGGACUGAGACACGGCCCGGACUCCUACGGGAGGCAGCAGUGGGGAAUCUUGGACAAUGGGCGCAAGCCUGAUCCAGCCAUGCCGCGUGUGUGAAGAAGGCCUUCGGGUUGUAAAGCACUUUCAGUAGGGAGGAAGGCUUUGGGCUAAUACCCGGGAGUACUUGACGUUACCUACAGAAGAAGCACCGGCUAAUUUCGUGCCAGCAGCCGCGGUAAUACGAAAGGUGCGAGCGUUAAUCGGAAUUACUGGGCGUAAAGCGCGCGUAGGCCGUGUGUUAAGUCAGAUGUGAAAGCCCCGGGCUCAACCUUGGAAUUGCAUCCGAUACUGGCACGCUAGAGUGCAGUAAAGGGAGGUGGAAUUUCCGGUGUAGCGGUGAAAUGCGUAGAGAUCGGAAGGAACACCAGUGGCGAAGGCGGCCUCCUGGACUGACACUGACCCUUAGGUGCGAAAGCGUGGGGAGCAAACAGGAUUAGAUACCCUGGUAGUCCACGCCGUAAACGAUGUCUACCAGCCUUGGGGUCCUUAGUGACCUUGGUGGCGCAACUUACGCGAUAAGUAGACCGCCUGGGGAGUACGGCCCCCAGGGUUAAAACUCAAAUGAAUUGACAGGGGCCCCCACAACCGGUGGAACAUGUGGUUUUAAUUCGAUGCAACGCGAAAAACCUUACCA
rnacentral:rRNA from 1 species